rnacentral:tRNA from 1 species
GGCUCCGUGGCUGUGCGGUUAGUGCUACCAAGCAUUUGACUGCAUCGAGUCAAAAAAUGUGGGUUCGAUUCCCGCUUUAGUCC